rnacentral:rRNA from 1 species
GACGAACGCUGGCGGCGUGCUUAACACAUGCAAGUCGAACGGAAAGGCCCUGCUUUUGUGGGGUGCUCGAGCGGCGAACGGGUGAGUAACACGUGAGUAACCUGCCCUUGACUUUGGGAUAACUUCAGGAAACUGGGGCUAAUACCGGAUAGGAGCUCCUGCUGCAUGGUGGGGGUUGGAAAGUUUCGGCGGUUGGGGAUGGACUCGCGGCUUAUCAGCUUGUUGGUGGGGUAGUGGCUUACCAAGGCUUUGACGGGUAGCCGGCCUGAGAGGGUGACCGGCCACAUUGGGACUGAGAUACGGCCCAGACUCCUACGGGAGGCAGCAGUGGGGAAUAUUGCACAAUGGGCGGAAGCCUGAUGCAGCAACGCCGCGUGCGGGAUGGCGGCCUUCGGGUUGUAAACCGCUUUCGCCUGUGACGAAGCGUGAGUGACGGUAAUGGGUAAAGAAGCACCGGCUAACUACGUG